rnacentral:rRNA from 1 species
AGCGAACGCUGGCGGCAGGCUUAACACAUGCAAGUCGAGCGGGCAUCCUUGUGGUGUCAGCGGCAGACGGGUGAGUAACGCGUGGGAACGUGCCCUUCGGUUCGGAAUAACUCAGGGAAACUUGAGCUAAUACCGGAUACGUGCGAGAGCAGAAAGGUUUAUCUGCCGAAGGAUCGGCCCGCGUCUGAUUAGCUAGUUGGUGAGGUUAUGGCUCACCACGGCGACGAUCAGUAGCUGGUCUGAGAGGAUGAUCAGCCACACUGGGACUGAGACACGGCCCAGACUCCUACGGGAGGCAGCAGUGGGGAAUAUUGGACAAUGGGGGCAACCCUGAUCCAGCCAUGCCGCGUGAGUGAUGACGGCCUUAGGGUUGUAAAGCUCUUUUCUCCGGGACGAUAAUGACGGUACCGGAGGAAUAAGCCCCGGCUAACUUCGUG